rnacentral:snoRNA from 1 species
AUUCGGGCUGAUAACUAGGCGGCGGUUUCGAAUCUUAACCCACUCCACAACGUCUGCCCUUUAAGUGCCCGAUAUAUUGAAGAUUGUUUCGUUGAAACAUGUGAAGAUCUUACAAGUUUCCAAAACUCUUUCUGUUUCUUUGUGUUUGGCAGCUUUUAAAUCUUCGCUACAUCC